rnacentral:rRNA from 1 species
ACGUAGGGGGCGAGCGUUAUUCGGAAUUACUGGGUGUAAAGGGUAUGUAGGCGGCCCUUCAAGUCGCGUGUCAAAGUCCAGUGCUCAACGCUGGGUGUGCGCGCGAUAAUGACGGGCUUGAGGGCGGGAGAGGUGAGCGGAAUUCCCGGUGUAGGGGUGAAAUGCUAUAAGAUUGGGAGGAGCACCAGCGGCGCAGGCGGCUAACUGGAAAGUUUCUGACGGUAAGAUACGAAAGCGUGGGGAGCAAACAG